rnacentral:rRNA from 1 species
GGGAAUUGUUCGCAAUGGGCGCAAGCCUGACGACGCAACGCCGCGUGGAGGAUGAAGAUCUUCGGGUCGUAAACUCCUGUCGAGCGGGAAGAACACCUACGGGGUGAAUAGUCUCGUAGGCUGACGGUACCGCUAAAGGAAGCCCCGGCCAACUCCGUGCCAGCAGCCGCGGUAAUACGGGGGGGGCAAGCGUUGUUCGGAAUUACUGGGCGUAAAGGGCUCGUAGGCGGCCAACUAAGUCAGACGUGAAAUCCCCAGGCUCAACCUGGGAACUGCGUCUGAUACUGGAUGGCUUGAAUUCGGGAGAGGGAUGCAGAAUUCCAGGUGUAGCGGUGAAAUGCGUAGAUAUCUGGAGGAAUACCGGUGGCGAAGGCGGCAUCCUGGACCGACAUUGACGCUGAGGAGCGAAAGCUAGGGGAGCAAA